rnacentral:rRNA from 1 species
AUUGAACGCUGGCGGCAUGCCUAACACAUGCAAGUCGAGCGAAGCGACGGACGGGUGAGUAAUGCCUAGGUAUCUGCCUUGUCGUUGGGGCUGACGUCCGUAAACGGGAGCUGAUCCCGCAUCCUCUCAGCUGAGCCUAGUUCGCAUUAGCUAGUUGGUGGGGUAAAGGCCUACCAAGGCGACGAUCCGUACCUGGUCUGAGAGGAUGAUCAGUCACACUGGAACUGAGACACGGUCCAGACUCCUACGGGAGGCAGCAGUGGGGAAUAUUGGGCAAUGGGCGAAAGCCUGAUCCAGCCAUGCCGCGUGGGUGAAGAAGGUCUUCGGAUUGUAAAGCACUUUAAGUUGGGAGGCGGUACCAACAGAAUAAGCACCGGCUAACUACGUGCCAGCAGCCGCGGUAAUAC